rnacentral:tRNA from 1 species
GCGCAGGUGGCGGAGCGGUCAAUCGCAUCAGACUGUAAAUCUGACGCCCUUAGGGCUACGCAGGUUCGAAUCCUGCCCUGCGCA